AACUUGAACUUGAAACUACUACCAGCCGAGCCCAUCUCUUUUAGUCCAUUUGAAUGCUGGAUAGAUUCAGGGGAAAGCACUGUCACUUGCAAAAAUGAUUCUUGCGAAGAGUGUGAAAAUGGUCGAAACUGGGAACAGUUUGAAGGACUGCAUACCGAGCUUGACUAUUAUCCACACCAGUGAGCAAUUCGAGCAUCAAUGAUUGAUGAUCAGCAUUCCUCUGUUAGCUAAGGGGAAUCUUGCCAGUCCACAAUUGAGGAUUCCUUUUGUCUUGUAAGAAGUGAAAGCUUCCUUAUAUCUAUUUGGAUGCAUACGGCAGGAAUGCAGGAUAAACUGAUUGACUAGGUAAGCUUGUCAUACUUCUAUGGUUGUUUCUGGAGCUUUUGUCUCCACAUUUCUGAGAACAUUUGGAAUGUGACUCGUUGAUUUGAUGGAUGAGGGUCUCUUUUGUCCAUCAUAGAUCAUCAAACUAACUAAAUUAUGUAUAGCUUCACAAAAGAAACAGAAGUGUGAAUUGGUUAUCAUGUGAUGCGAGAAUGGAACUUCUUCCUUUUAGCUUGAGCUACUAUUUUCUAAUCCAAGUUGCAGGAAGAAAAAAAUGCAAAACAAGUACUUUGAGCAUAUAUUAAAGAAAAAAGAUGUAAAUCCGAGAAACCGUGAUUAUGCCUCUUUAACUUUCUCAUUCUUGUAGAAUAAGAUAUUUUCUUUGGUGACUUGGAAAUGCAUCAAAACAGAAAAUGCAAUUCAUGUCGUGACAGAUAACACUUGUUUGAGGUGCAAGUUUUGUUGGUUUAUAGGUGGAACAUAGUAUACAGCCAUUGAUGUAGUCUUUAAUCCAGUUUAGUUUCUUUUUUACUUUUCCUUUCUCUCUCUUUUUUGUUUCUUCUUUCUUCUACGUUUGAUGACGGGGAAUAUAAUUCCUCAAUAGAGGCUUUGGAAAGGCUGGGCCAGGUUUGUGCUUUCUAGUAGCGUGGAUACUCAGUAAUCCAUCAAGCAAACCCAUUAAAAGACUCAUUAUUGAUUAUACUGUCCUGUCGUUGUUAUCAAGCAAGAUUUGCCUGGCAAAGCUUGUAAAAUAUGCAAUACAUAUAUAAUUUUUACUAUCACAAAAUAUGAACCUCUCAUCAAUUGUGGUGUGGAAGGUUUUCAUUCAUGCAUCCAGUUUUGUGAACUUUAGCCUUUUAGCAGUUUCACUUCUUGCACAUCUUCUACCACCAGUGAGGGCUACUGGUGGUAGUGCAGGUUUCAAUUAGUAAAUGAAAACUGAUUAAUUCCGUCGUUGUUGUUUUGGAAACUUUUCUUUCACAUUCCUUGUUUGGGUAGGGCGGAAUGCAAUGAUAUAGCGUGAAUCCCUCCAUGUGCUAAGACUGAAAAGGAGUUAUUAAAAGCAUAAGUGUAUGCCUUUGGGCUUAAUGGUUUAGUUCAGGAAUUUGGGUUGUUUGUUCACAUUUUGUUCUUUAGGUUUUAAAAGUUUUUUUUAUUUUUUUUAUUUUUCCUAUCAUGAGUGUAGAUAUGUCAUUCACUAUGAACAAUAAUACCUUCCGCGUGAAAUUAUAUAAUAUUAUUGCAUGUGUAAAAGAUGCAUACUGAUGACAAGGAAAGACACAUUGUCCAUUUUACAUUACAUUUUUACUAUAGAGAAGCCUAAUCUGCCUAAACAAGCUUGCAUAGACAAAUUAAAAAUAUAUCUCUAUUAUUGUUGUCAUUAUUAUUUAUUAGUAGAGA